ACCUCGAUGUCGGCUCGUCGCAUCCUGGGGCUGGAGUAGGUCCCAAGGGUUGGGCUGUUCGCCCAUUAAAGCGGUACGCGCGCUGGGUUUAGAACGUCGCGCGACAGUUCGGUCCCUAUCCGCCGCGCUCGUUGGAGACUUGAGGAAGGCUGUCCCUAGUACGAGCGGACCGGGACGGACGAACCUCUGGUGUGCCAGUUGUCCGGCCAGGAGCCCGGCUGGUUGGCUAUGUUCGGGAGGGAUAACCGCUGAAGGCAUCUAAGCGGGAAGCCUGUUCCAAGAUGAGGUCUCCCACCACCUUCGAGUGGGUAAGGCUCCCAGGAGAUGACUGGGUUGAUAGGCCGGAGAUGGAAGCCUUGUGAGGGGUGGAGUUGACCGGUACUAAUAGGCCGAGGGCUUGCCACAAC
rnacentral:rRNA from 1 species